GAGUUUGAUCAUGGCUCAGGAUGAACGCUAGCUACAGGCUUAACACAUGCAAGUCGAACGGGGCAGAGAGCUUCGGUUUUCUGCUUAGUGGCGAACGGGUGAGUAACGCGUGAAGAACCUGCCUUCCAGUGGGGGACAACAGUUGGAAACGACUGCUAAUACCGCAUGACACUUCUGAGGGGCAUCCCUUAGAAGUCAAAGCUUUAUGUGCUGGAAGAUGGCUUCGCGUCUGAUUAGCUAGUUGGCGGGUAACGGCCCACCAUGCCGACGAUUGGUAGCCGGACUGAGAGGUUGAACGGCCACAUUGGGACUGAGAUACGGCCCAGACUCCUACGGGAGGCAGCAGUGGGGAAUAUUGGGCAAUGGGGGAAACCCUGACCCAGCAACGCCGCGUGAAGGAAGAA
rnacentral:rRNA from 1 species